rnacentral:rRNA from 1 species
GACGAACGCUGGCGGCGUGCUUAACACAUGCAAGUCGAACGGAAAGGCCCUGCUUUCGUGGGGUGCUCGAGUGGCGAACGGGUGAGUAACACGUGAGUAACCUGCCCUUGACUUUGGGAUAACUUCAGGAAACUGGGGCUAAUACCGGACAGGAGCUCCUGCUGCAUGGUGGGGGUUGGAAAGUUUCCGCGGUUGGGGAUGGACUCGCGGCGUAUCAGCUUGUUGGUGGGGUAGUGGCUUACCAAGGCUUUGACGGGUAGUCGGCCUGGGAGGGUGCGCGGCCACAUUGAGACUGAGAUACGGCCCAGACUCCUACGGUAGGGACGAGGGGGGAAUAUUGCAUAAUGGGCGGAAGCCUGAUGCAACAACGCCCCGUGCGGGAUGACGACCUUCGAAUUGUAAACCGCUUUCACCUGUGACGAGGCGUGUGUAACGGUAAUGGGUAAAGAAGCGCCGGCUAACUACGUG